rnacentral:rRNA from 1 species
GAUGAACGCUGGCGGCGUGCCUAAUACAUGCCAGUCGAGCGAACGGACGAGAAGCUUGCUUCUCUGAUGUUAGCGGCGGACGGGUGAGUAACACGUGGAUAACCUACCUAUAAGACUGGGAUAACUUCGGGAAACCGGAGCUAAUACCGGAUGAUAUUUUGAACCGCAUGGUUCAAAAGUGAAAGACGGUCUUGCUGUCACUUAUAGAUGGAUCCGCGCUGCAUUAGCUAGUUGGUAAGGUAACGGCUUACCAAGGCAACGAUGCAUAGCCGACCUGAGAGGGUGAUCGGCCACACUGGAACUGAGACACGGUCCAGACUCCUACGGGAGGCAGCAGUAGGGAAUCUUCCGCAAUGGGCGAAAGCCUGACGGAGCAACGCCGCGUGAGUGAUGAAGGUCUUCGGAUCGUAAAACUCUGCUAUUAGGGAAGAACAUAUGUGUAAGUAACUGUGCACAUCUUGACGGUACCUAAUCAGAAAGCCACGGCUAACUACGUG